AGAAGACAAGCAGAUGAGGAGACAAAACCUACUGAUGUGGGUACCCAAGCAGGAACCCCCCUCUUGCACCGGCGACUCACGUGGGAAGAAGGUAGGAAAUCAACAGCAUAGGGGAAAGAAAAGGAAAAGGAGUUUGGAAACAGGAUAAGACAGGCUUCUUUUGAAUAAUGGAGAGGACUCUUAGAAAAAAGAAAAGAAACAGAAUAAAUUUUUAUUCACUGAUUCCAUUUCAGCGCAGCAAAUUCUCAUUGAUUUUAAUCAAUUGCUUUCUUACAGAGUUUUGUCCAUAUGUAUGUGACAAAAUCAGCGGUCAUUUAAUGACAGACUUAGAAUGUGUGCUAAGAAUGAAACCAUUGAGAUUUCCUUGUCUUUCCUCCUUUCAGUAAAAAUCAUGAAGGGGAGAAAGGGAGGGGGUGAGGGUGGGGCAAGGAGAGCAAUAUUUUAUAAAAGUGACAACGCGUUUUGCAUUUGAAUUAUUAUUUAUUUUCCCUGGUGGAGUUUCAAGCAGGUUAUUGCAAGGAAAGGAAAAACUGGAAAUUAACCAAACGUGGUCCAGACUGGGGAUGACGAGUUUAGCAGGGGCUUUAAUGGGACCUCCUAAGCGAUUCAGGAGAGAAUGAAUCUCUCAUAGUUUCCCUUCUCAUGGGAUCACUGACCAAGCUUCCCCAAAUCAGGGUGCAGCAACAAAAUCAGGGUGCAGCAUCUUUUAAGUGGGCUUAAGACCCACUUAAAAGCUUAUCAUAGCGAGAUGUUGAGAAGAUAAAGUUUUAGUUUUUUAUAGAGCAGAAAAUAUAUAUGAGAUGAGGAAUAAAAGGUUCUGUCUAAAAGCCUGACAUGUGUAAGACUUUCCCUCCACUGUUGUUUUCCUUUUGGUUUGGUAAGAAUGUGGUGAGUGAAGUAAAAAGAUAAGGAGAGAAGAACCACAGAGACCCCCUUGAAGCGUAAAACUCUGUUUAUUAAGAGUGAGAAUGUUCAGUGGCCUGUGACCCUCCCUUUCCUAGGCCACCUUCCCCAGUGCUUGGCUUUUCCCUGCCUGGCACCGGGUGAUCCAGGCAAGGCCCUGGCUGGGGUGCCGAGGGUGGGGGAGACAGCUCUGGGUCCUUCUGUGCCACUUCCUCCCUGUGCUGGUGUUUCAGCAGCAAUCUGCCCCUCUGCGAUGGCAGCCUGUCCACAGCUCUAGUGCCCAUAGGCUUGGGGACCCCGUUCCUUCCCUUCAUCUGACUCUUCAGGCCUAGAGUGGCGAGGGCUUCCCACUGUGCUUGUCUCUGGGUACCUCGGCCUCUCUGGCUGUAUUUUCUUAACCCUGCUCCCUGCUCUAUAAACAGACCCUUCUCUAAAUUCACCUCAACUCUCUUAAUGGGAUUCUCUUUCAUGGGAUUCUGACUGACAGAGUGCGGCUAAAAAUAUCUCAAACCUGAUAGAAGCUGAGAGGAGCUGAAAUUUCGAGUUGCAGAAACCUGGAUGCUUGCCACUAUAUAGAGGACAGCAAACCAUUUAUUAUUUAUACAAUUUCAGGCAAAUAGGCUCUAGAAAUUCCAGGUACAAAAGAUCUGAAGAGAUGACUAAACACUAACUAGGAUUAGUUACAUUAAUCACGGACUUUUAAAAUGACCA
rnacentral:lncRNA from 1 species